GGACUACCAGGGUAUCUAAUCCUGUUUGCUCCCCACGCUUUCGAGCCUCAACGUCAGUCAUCGUCCAGAAAGCCGCCUUCGCCACUGGUGUUCCUCCUAAUAUCUACGCAUUUCACCGCUACACUAGGAAUUCCGCUUUCCUCUCCGACACUCUAGCCUGACAGUUCCAAAUGCAGUCCCGGGGUUGAGCCCCGGGCUUUCACAUCUGGCUUGCCAUGCCGUCUACGCUCCCUUUACACCCAGUAAAUCCGGAUAACGCUUGCCCCCUACGUAUUACCGCGGCUGCUGGCACGUAGUUAGCCGGGGCUUCUUAGUCAGGUACCGUCAUUUUCUUCCCUGCUGAUAGAGCUUUACAUACCGAAAUACUUCAUCGCUCACGCGGCGUCGCUGCAUCAGGGUU
rnacentral:misc_RNA from 1 species